rnacentral:rRNA from 1 species
AGUGAACGCUGGCGGUAGGCCUAACACAUGCCAGUCGAACGGCAGCACAGUAAGAGCUUGCUCUUACGGGUGGCGAGUGGCGGACGGGUGAGGAAUACAUCGGAAUCUACUUUUUCGUGGGGGAUAACGUAGGGAAACUUACGCUAAUACCGCAUACGACCUACGGGUGCAAGCAGGGGAUCUUCGGACCUUGCGCGAUUGAAUGAGCCGAUGUCGGAUUAGCUAGUUGGCGGGGUAAAGGCCCACCAAGGCGACGAUCCGUAGCUGGUCUGAGAGGAUGAUCAGCCACACUGGAACUGAGACACGGUCCAGACUCCUACGGGAGGCAGCAGUGGGGAAUAUUGGACAAUGGGCGCAAGCCUGAUCCAGCCAUACCGCGUGGGUGAAGAAGGCCUUCGGGUUGUAAAGCCCUUUUGUUGGGAAAGAAAAGCAGCAGGUUAAUACCCCGCUGUUCUGACGGUACCCAAAGAAUAAGCACCGGCUAACUUCGUG